rnacentral:lncRNA from 1 species
UUUAUAAUUUUAAUUAAAAAUACCAUCCCUUCCCAAUUUUUUUACAACUACCACCUAUAAAUACAUUUUUAUUGUGGUUUUUCGGAAAUUAGGUUCUCUCUCAAUUCUCUUGCCUCUAUCUCUCUCUUCGGCCCUUCUCUCUCCAGAUCAAUCAGAAUUCGGAUCAACCCCUCAUUGUCCGUCUCUGAAAAUAAUUGAACAGAGAAAAUCCAAUGAUGCAGAAGUUGAGUCACUGCGAGAGGAAUACCAUCAAAGGGUUGCAACACUUGAAAGGAAGGUAGGUCUUCUCAUAAAGUCUUGUUUAUAAUCGUGCUUGGAUUGAUCUAGGUGUUAUAUGUGCCCGUUAUGUUUUUGAUGAAAUUGGUACUUGCCUAUUUUUAAUUCAGCUCCUGAUAAUUGGAGGGGCUAUGCCAACUUAUGAUUGCAGGUGUAUGCUCUUACAAAGGAAAGGGACACGCUUCGGCGGGAGCAGAAUAAGAAAAGUGAUGCAGCUGCUCUUCUGAAGGAAAUGGAUGAAAUAAUUAAUCAAGUUAUGGCUGAAGGUCUCUUUCUGUCCCUGUCUGUCUCUGUUUCUCUUGAGAAGCUCAAUAUGUUCUACAUAUUUUGUGCCUCAUAGUUAAUUUCAACGUAGCCAAUGUUCUAUUGUGGAUGCAAGGAGGGUUUCUUUAUGCAAUCAUAUCAAUAAUUAUGGAAAUUCCUUCAUUUUUGCAUUUUUAUGUACCAGCUGAAGAGCUUUCAAAAAAGCAGGCUGCUCAAGAAGGACAGAUUAGGAAAUUAAGGGCUCAGGUAUGCUAGCCGGUUUAUUCAUUGUCUGAUUUUGUCAUUCUUUAAUCCUUUCACUGCUAGGUAUUCUUAUAUUUUUUUUCUCUGAAUACUAGAUCAGAGAGUUUGAAGAAGAGAAGAAAGGGUUGAUUACUAAACUUCAGGUAAUUCAUUUAUGUUAGAAUCUUUAAAAUUGUGGUUCUCUGAUUUCGUUUGAUAAAGACAAAGUACACAUGCUGGAAGAAUUGGUUGAGUUUCCCUGCAUGCUGAAAUGGAGGGGGGCAGUGGCCUGUAAUGCACAUGCAAUCUGGAGAGUUACUACUCGUGACAGGGUUUGGGUGUUUUUUAUGGUUAUUGGUUGUCUAGUUUUGCCAAGAGGAUCUCAUAGUGCUUGCUUGUUUGGGCGAAUUGAGUCAGUGGUAGUCCCACUGGAGCAGCUUAAGUCCUCUGAUUUUACUGAUCAACAAGAAUACUAUGCCUGCAAAAUGAAAUAAAGGAGCUUUUCUGGUAAUGAACUUUAUUUUUGGAGACACACAUGCGCAAUGAACUUUACUGUCUUUGAUGGCAUUUUGUGUUAUUUGUUUGAUAGGAAGGUGAUGCUGCUGUUGCCGUUUCUGAGGAGGUGAAGAACAACCAUGUAGUAAGAAAUCAAUACUAUAAUUAGUGUAGUUAUUUGCCUAUGUUUGUUUCUAGUCAGCAGAUUUGUCAUAGGCAUAUUAGUGUAGUUACCGUAUUGCAAGGGCUGAAAUCUGGAUGAUAUCAGCUUCUUUUUAUUGUUGUUUUAAAGUGAGGUAUGUAUGGGUCUUAUGAAAUUUUUACAGAAAUAUAUUGGAGGGCAAAUAAUUUUAUUUUAGUUUUUUAUUCCCAAAUGAUACCCAAAACAUGUAAGCUUCACACUAUGUUAAUUUCUGCAGGAUGGGAAAACAUUGGACAAUGAGUUGGAGGUUGUUGAGGGAAUGAAGCUAGAUAGGGGCUACAUAUCCCCUUAUUUCAUCACCAACCAGAACAAUCAGAAAUGUGUAAGUUUUAGUUUGACUCAGUGAUAACUAUGUCUUGAAACUGUUAGAGGGCUGCUUGUUAAAGUUAGCAGCACCUCAAGUCCCUUUUUGCUUGAUGCUGAUUAUCUUCAAACUUGUGUAUGUGCUGAUAGGAAUUGGAAAAUCCUCUAAUCAUAAUCCAUGAGAAGAAAAUCUCAAGUAUUAAUGAUGUGGUUAAAGUAUUGGAGUUGGUUUUGCAGGUUAGCAUUUCUCUGGUUAGGUUCACUAGUUUCUUCGUUUUUACUAUGAAUUGGUUGACAAACUUUUGCUCCUUUUCAGAAGCAAAGGUAUUUGCAUUUUGUUAUAUAUUUCAGAACCGAAGUUAUAAAAGAAAAUGGUUUUCCUCUUUGCUAAUUGAGAAUCAUGUGCAGUUAUGAUUUCAGAUCUGUAGAUAACCUGUUGUUGCUGAUAUUGCUACACGGGAGGAGAACAGAACAAGUUGGAAAAUGUGCAAGAAGGGAGAGCUAACUCAUACAACGAAGAACAAAUUGAUGAAGUUAAGAUCAAAUUAGUAGAAUUUGUGAGCUCUCCAUUAUUUAUAAUUAUAGGUAGGAAGUAUGUAUGUAAUAGAGCAAAGAUUGGUUGACUAUGUAAUAACAAUUGAAUUGUCAAGUUUUAUGAAAGAAAUAAUUUUUGCUUCUUGGGAUAGUAUUGUUAGGGUUCGGUGGCGAUUUAUUUUCCAUGUCUAAAUUGUAGUAUGUAAUGGAUGUGUGUGUAUUGUAUGUAGAUUGACUUAAUAUUGCUGUCCUAUUGC